rnacentral:rRNA from 1 species
AUUGAACGAUGGCGGCAGGCUUAACACAUGCUAGUCGAACGAGUAGCGGCCGGGUGAGUAAUGUCUGGGAAACUGCACGCUGGAGGGGGAUAACUACUGGAAACGGUAGCUAAUACCGCAUACCAUCGGAUGUGCCCAGAUGGGAUUAGCUCGUAGGUGGGGUAACGGCGCACCUAGGCGACGAUCCCUAGAUGGUCUGAGAGGAUGACCAGCCACAAUGGGACUGAGACACGGUCCAGACUCCGACGUGAGGCAGCAGUGGGGAAUAUUGCACAAUGGGCGCAAGCCUGAUGCAGCCAUGCCGCGUGUAUGAAGAAGGCCUUCGGGUUGUAAAGUACUUUCAGCGAGGAGGCGUUACUCGCAGAAGAAGCACCGGCUAACUCCGUGCCAGCAGCCGCGGUAAUUC